UACGUAGGGUGCAAGCGUUGUCCGGAAUUAUUGGGCGUAAAGAGCUCGUAGGCGGUUUGUCGCGUCUGCUGUGAAAGCCCGGGGCUCAACCCCGGGUCUGCAGUGGGUACGGGCAGACUAGAGUGCAGUAGGGGAGACUGGAAUUCCUGGUGUAGCGGUGAAAUGCGCAGAUAUCAGGAGGAACACCGGUGGCGAAGGCGGGUCUCUGGGCAACUACUGACGCUGAGGAGCGAAAGCGUGGGGAGCGAACAGG
rnacentral:rRNA from 1 species